rnacentral:rRNA from 1 species
CCUACGGGUGGCAGCAGUGGGGAAUAUUGCACAAUGGGGGAAACCCUGAUGCAGCGACGCCGCGUGAGCGAAGAAGUAUUUCGGUAUGUAAAGCCCUAUCAGCAGGGAAGAUAAUGACGGUACCUGAGUAAGAAGCACCGGCUAAAUACGUGCCAGCAGCCGCGGUAAUACGUAUGGUGCAAGCGUUAUCCGGAUUUACUGGGCGUAAAGGGCGCGUAGGCGGCCUGGCAAGUCUGAUGUGAAAUACCAGGGCUCAACCCCGGGGCUGCAUUGGAAACUGGCAGGCUGGAGUGCCGGAGAGGCAGGCGGAAUGCCUGGUGUAGCGGUAAAAUGCGUAGAGAUUAGGAGGAACACUAGUGGCGAAGGCGACCUGCUGGACGGUAACUGACGCUGAGGCGCGAAAGCGUGGGGAGCAAACAGGAUUAGAUACCCGGGUAGUC